GCCCCUGUAGCUCAGUAGAUAGAGCAUUUCGCUUCGGACGAAAGGGUCGAGGGUGCAAUUCCUUCCAGGGGCGCUA
rnacentral:tRNA from 2 species